UACGAAGGGGGCUAGCGUUGCUCGGAAUCACUGGGCGUAAAGCGCACGUAGGCGGACUCUUAAGUCAGGGGUGAAAUCCUGGAGCUCAACUCCAGAACUGCCUUUGAUACUGGGAGUCUUGAGUUCGGGAGAGGUGAGUGGAACUGCGAGUGUAGAGGUGAAAUUCGUAGAUAUUCGCAAGAACACCAGUGGCGAAGGCGGCUUACUGGUCCGGUUCUGACGCUGAGGCGCGAAAGCGUGGGGAGCAAACAGG
rnacentral:rRNA from 1 species